UUGGACCCAUAAGUUAGUUGAGUUGUUGUAGGUACUUAAUCGAGUGAUGUCUAUCUAAAAUGAGAGAAAUGUUAAUUUGUGGAGUAACAUGUCUUCUCAAAUUGUUUAGAAAAAAUCUACACGUUGUCUCCCAUUCUACAAUGGCUAGGCAUAAGGAAGAUAUGGUUAGCUUUAUCUUGUGUUGUAGAUGUCAUCAAUAUUGUGUCAAUAUACUUCUCGUAAAUUCAUGUAUAUCAUAUACUUGCACUAUGGGUUUGCAGUAGUAUAAGAAUUUUUUUUUCCCGGUAUGAUCUCUCACCCACGGAUUUUGUUUGAGCAGCAAUCACAUUGCCGGAACACAAGAUUGUAAAGCUCCCAAAAGUUUUGGCAGCUUGACAUAUGAUUCUUUCUCAUUUCCAUGAAUCAUUUCCAACACUCUUUGCUUUGCUAACCAUGUCUUUUUGUAGGAUGAAGUAUAAUUCAUGAACGUUUUGAUCUAUGCCAUCAAUGUUUUGAUGGAGACUGUUGGUUGGAUGAUUUGUGCUAUGACAUGUUUUUCGAGUUGUUGAUGAUCUUAUCUAAGUAUUAGCAUGAGACAAGUGUGAUGUAUGAUACUUUUGAUAAUCCAUUUCUUAUGCCUCUUUGAACUGCAUGCGCCUAAGCUCUAUGUACAACCAUUUUCAUGUGAUUUACACACGAAGUUUAGGCUUCCCUGGUCAGAAUAUAUUGUUCUACAGUCAAAAUGAUUUCUGAUGUUAUAUUCUUUGACUGCUCGAAUACAUUAUUUUUUUUAUCGAAGGUCAUGCCAACCUCGAGUGCAUUGGUUGGUGGUUGUACAUUAUCUUGUUGCUGAACGAAAUGAUGUUGAUUAAUGUAGUGUGGUAGAUGGUCAAGGUUAAGUCCCUUAGGUUGGUGAUAUUACAACGAAGGUGAUGUUGGUCUGCCAACACCCUCUUUAUCACUUUGGUCAUCACUUUGGUCAUUGACGUGAUCAAAGAACUGUUGAUCCUCAUCCUCACUAAAAUAUCCAUGUUUUCCUCAUGAAAUCAUAUAAUGAGAUCUUCGUUAGUGAUGAGGAUGUUCAUUUUGGUUUGAUGUUCGUGUUUGUGGUUGUUGUGAGAGUGGCGUAAAAUAUUGUGAUGAAGGAUGGUUUUGUUGGUCAAAUGAGGUUUGUUGGGCACCAAAAAAAAGAAUCAUUAUGGGAUAAUAGUUGUGUGUAUGAAGUAUAAAUGUCAAAGGCAUCUUGUGUUUCAAGAUUGUUGUAUGAAGACACAGGAUCAUUGAGGUCCAGGUUGUUGUACGGUAAUGGUUGUGGAGGCGGUAGUUGUAGUUGUGGACAUGACAGUUGUGGAGACGAUGGUUGUGGUUGAGGAAUAAGGUCAAUACAUGAUAUAACAAUUGAACAAUUUUUUCAGUUACCCGAGUAGGGAGAUGAUUGUUAAUUUUCUUAAUCAAUCAUGCUAACAUAAUAGAACGAAUCACAUAUAGAAAUAUUGGGUUCACACAUGUGUACAUUGAUCCCUAAAUCGGGUUGUCUGCAAUGUGACCAUGGUGGUAAAUGACGAUCGCAAUUUCUUUAGGUGGAGUCAUGGGUGGUGAUUGUGGGAUAUGAGUGGAAAGACUGUGAGAGUUACGAAUAGAGGUUUGUUUUAUGAG
rnacentral:lncRNA from 1 species